GAUGAACGCUGGCGGCGUGCCUAAUACAUGCAAGUCGAGCGAAUGGAUUAAGAGCUUGCUCCUAUGAAGUUAGCGGCGGACGGGUGAGUAACACGUGGGUAACCUGCCCAUAAGACUGGGAUAACUCCGGGAAACCGGGGCUAAUACCGGAUAACAUUUUGAACCGCAUGGUUCGAAAUUGAAAGGCGGCUUCGGCUGUCACUUAUGGAUGGACCCGCGUCGCAUUAGCUAGUUGGUGAGGUAACGGCUCACCAAGGCAACGAUGCGUAGCCGACCUGAGAGGGUGAUCGGCCACACUGGGACUGAGACACGGCCCAGACUCCGACGGGAGGCAGCAGUAGGGAAUCGUCCGCAAUGGACGAAAGUCUGACGGAGCAACGCCGCGUGAGUGAUGAAGGCUUUCGGGUCGUAAAACUCUGUUGUUAGGGAAGAACAAGUGCUAGUUGAAUAAGCUGGCACCUUGACGGUACCUAACCAGAAAGCCACGGCUAACUACGUGCCAGCCGCCGCGGUAA
rnacentral:rRNA from 1 species